rnacentral:rRNA from 1 species
AGCGAACGCUGGCGGCAGGCUUAACACAUGCAAGUCGAACGCCCCGCAAGGGGAGUGGCAGACGGGUGAGUAACGCGUGGGAACAUACCCUUUCCUGCGGAAUAGCUCUGGGAAACUGGAAUUAAUACCGCAUACGCCCUACGGGGGAAAGAUUUAUCGGGGAAGGAUUGGCCCGCGUUGGAUUAGCUAGUUGGUGGGGUAAAGGCCUACCAAGGCGACGAUCCAUAGCUGGUCUGAGAGGAUGAUCAGCCACAUUGGGACUGAGACACGGCCCAAACUCCUACGGGAGGCAGCAGUGGGGAAUAUUGGACAAUGGGCGCAAGCCUGAUCCAGCCAUGCCGCGUGAGUGAUGAAGGCCUUAGGGUUGUAAAGCUCUUUCACCGAUGGAGAUAAUGACGGUAGUCGGAGAAGAAGCCCCGGCUAACUUCGUGCCAGCAGCCGCGGUAAAAC